rnacentral:siRNA from 1 species
AGGGCUAUCUUCACCUGGACCAGG